UCUCCCUCUAUUCCUAAUUCAAAUUUCCCCAUGCUUGCAGCACUGGAGCCACAGUCAGACAGGUUAACCCUUGGUUUUGCACAUUCAGAUAAGCCUGAGUGACAGAAGCCUUGGACAGUCUCAUUUUAUAAAUCAAACCCAUCACAUACAAUUCUUCUAUUAAUCCCUUAAUACUUUCAAGAUUAUGCAGCAUAGAAGAUAAUGGCCCAGAACUGCACUUUAAGGAGCAAGUCAAAUCUGCCAAUUGCACCAGUCCCAGGUAAAUAAAUAGGAAUGACCCAACAAACCAAUUAACUUCCACAGAAACCACAUUCCUGUACGUAGCCAUUCAGGCUUUAAAAACAAAGAAACACCAAUCCAUAUUCUGGAAAAAUAGCCCGUUUCCGACUGGGCAAACCAAUCAAAUUUACAUUCUCGAAGGCUUUCACAGUCGGGAUCUGAUGGUUGUUGUAGGUUUUUCGGGCUGUUUGUCCAUGUUCUGAAGGUUGUUCUUCCUAAUGUUUGGCCAGUCUCUGUGCCCGGCAUCUUCAGAGGAUAGGAGUCAGAAAUCUCUCUGUGCCCUGGUGCAGUUUGUGGGAUAGUUUAGUAUUUGUAGCUGUGGGAUCAGCUUUUGCCCUUUUCAGGAGAUUGAGAGAUUAUAGUGAUCAGCGUGCUUUUUUUGUUGUGGAUGUAUUGCUGUGAUAACAACCCCCCUAUCACAACAAUACAUCCACAACAAAAACACGCUAAUCACCAUAAUCACCCAGUCUCCUGAAAAGGACAAAAGUUGAUCCCACAGCUAUAAAUACUCAUUACUAAGAGGGCAGGAUUAGCAAUGUACUUGUGUUGUUGUUGUUGUUUUAAAUCUUCAUUUUCAAAAUCUCACUCGUACGCAUCAUUUGUGGGGAAAUGUAUGUAAUCAUUUCAUCAGCGUUUGUAAACAGUGUAAUUUUUUUGCUACUCCCACCUCUCUCAUUAUUUUUUUUAAAAAGCUAAUCUUUUUCCUUCCACACCCAUGAGCAGCAAAACAGAUUUGAUUUUCCCAGAAUGCCCUGGCGUUGGUAUAAUUUCACAGCUGAAGUGCAAUGCUCAAGGCAUUCUGGGGAAACGAAGUGGCAGCUACCAGGAGGAAGAGCCACUCAAAUACCUUCUGCUAUUGGCAGUUGCUAAGAAACAGGCUCAAAAAUCCUCCCUCAGACGAACUGAAAUGCGAUGGUACCUCAAGAGGUCUAACACACAAGGACAGCAUGAAGCAACACCAUGGACUUUGCCAAGGAUGCAGCUACAAUUAAUUAGUAAUUAUCUGCCAUCAAAUCACUGCUGAGAGGCCACAAUUCUCAGAAUCACCUCAUGAUUUUGGACAUUAUCAUCCAAUACAAGAUGUUUUCGAACCUCUGCUCAUUUGUCCGAUCGAACUCGACGCGGCCAGUUUGCUAUUAAAACGGAUGGCAAAAUAUUCAAGACAGUUGGCGUCAGGACAUUAUUGUUCACUUCCCGAAUGUGUUUCAUGCUCCCUGCUUUCCUAAGCUAGAUAUGAAAGCUCAGUUUCUUUGAAAUCCAAGACCUGGACCCAGCGCCCAAGCAGUGUGGAGGUGAAGCACCUACCUUUCCAGUAAUCUCAAAUGCUGCACACAACUAAACCUCUUUUUUAACCCAUGGGGUUUACUCUAAUCUCUAAAGCAGCCGGAGUGUGCAGAGAAUUGCAGCUUACCUGGUCACUAGUUUGUGCCUUUUCCAUCUUCUUCCCAGAUGGUUCAUUUCUGGAUCUCUUUUGUUACAGAAGACCGUGAGUGAUGGCCUUUCAGCACCAUGAGUAUUGGAUAUUUUAGGGGGUGGGGAGAGGGAGGGGGAACCAACCUCCCCAGACAGUAAGACCAGGUCCAGCACCCCUAUAAAAGACAUAGCCUUGUGGGCAAAGAACUAAUUGCUAAAGAAUGAAGCAGAGGCUGAAGAUUUAGCAGGGUAGAUAAAACUAGACGUAGGUGUAGAUUAGACAAACUGGUGUACAAUCUUCCAUGCUGGUGUGGGGCGUGGGUAGAAGUGCUGGUGUAGGAGGCUCCAACCACUACUAACCCAUUUUUAUUUUCAAUGAUCACAAGAGAGUUUCCCCAUUUAAAAAAAAACAACUUUUAAAUAAAACAUGGGGAAUCACAUGAGUGGGUGUGUCC
ensembl:lncRNA